rnacentral:lncRNA from 1 species
GUCAGUGAAGAAGUGGUCAGCACCAAAGGAGGAGAGCGUUUAAAGGAAAAGAGCUUGAUAAACCAGAGGGAUAGUCUGAGAGAGAAACUGAAGGUCAAAAUCAACGCAGUGGUGCCGAACAGAAGGGCCCGAGGUGCGAUGAGUAUAAUAUGAACACGAAGGAAAACAGCGAGUUCAGAAGCCUGGAGAAUCAGAAGCAGGUCAAGCGCUGGGGUUCAGGGCAAAGACCCUGAACACUGUGAAGGUGUUGGAGACCUGUUUUGAGGUGGCACUGCGGCUCAAUGUGAGUGCAGACCUGAGAGAUUAAAGUGCC